GUAGUCUUGGCUGUAAACGGUGCGCAUUUGCUGUAAACGGAAUCGACCCCGUUUGUGGCGAAGCUAACGCGAUAAAUGCGCCGCCUGGGAAGUACGGUCGCAAGAUUAAAACUCAAAGAAAUUGACGGGGGCCUGCACAAGCGGUGGAGUAUGUGGCUUAAUUCGAUGCAACGCGAAGAACCUUACCUGGCCUUGACAUGCAAGUGGUAGAACCAUGAAAGUGGGACGAUCCCGCAAGGGAAGCUUGCACAGGUGCUGCAUGGCUGUCGUCAGCUCGUGUCGUGAGAUGUUGGGUUAAGUCCCGCAACGAGCGCAACCCUUGUGUCCUGUUGCCACUCCCAAGUAAUUGGGAAGCACUCUGGACAGACUGCCUCGCUUAAACGAGGA
rnacentral:rRNA from 1 species